rnacentral:rRNA from 1 species
CGAGACGGGAUGGAAUGACCCUUCGGGGGAAUGAAAUCCUAGAAAGUGGCGAACGGGUGAGUAACGCGUAGGCAAUCUGCCUUCUAGAUGGGGACAACAUCCCGAAAGGGGUGCUAAUACCGAAUGUUGUAAUUGGUUCGCAUGGACUAGCUACUAAAGGUGGCCUCUGAAUAUGCUACCGCUAGAAGAUGAGCCUGCGUCUGAUUAGCUAGUUGGAGGGGUAACGGCCCACCAAGGCUUCGAUCAGUAGCCGGUCUGAGAGGAUGAACGGCCACACUGGGACUGA